rnacentral:rRNA from 1 species
UACAGAGGGUGCAAGCGUUAAUCGGAAUUACUGGGCGUAAAGCGCGCGUAGGCGGCUAAUUAAGUCGGGUGUGAAAGCCCCGGGCUCAACUGAGGAACUGCACGGGAAACUGCUCGACUUGAGUUCGGGAGAGGGAAGCGGAAUUCCGGGUGUAGCGGUGAAAUGCGUAGAUAUCUGGAGGAACACCGGUGGCGAAGGCGGCGAUCCUGGACCAUAACUGACGCUGAGGCGCGAAAGCUAGGGGAGCAAAACGGG